GGACGAUUGGAGGUCUCGCCGCUCGCACUCGUGCCUGCACCGCUAUUUCGUUGCGCCAACAUCUGCACUCCAGCGACAACAAAGCAAAGCUUGCAGCCUGCAAUGUAGACAGGUUUACUAAUGCUAUGGAAUAAGCUACACAAUUCUCAGAAAAAUGACAACAGAACCCACUUGUCCCAGUGUUACGGUAAACAUCAAUGGUAGCCUGUUUUUGUAUAGCCAGAACAUCUGUUGUCUUCUGCUAUCUUCACAUUACAUGACACUUCUAUUCAAUCAAGGUCUAUAGCACAUCUACCUUUAUGCUGAUUUAACAAAAUGUACUAGCAGUUAAACUUCUUCUGAGCUAUGCUGAAACUAUCAAGGACAGCCACAUGCAUUGUGAAAUAGCUAAUGAGUUUGCUUUUCUUUCUAUUA